rnacentral:rRNA from 1 species
GACGAACGCUGGCGGCGUGCCUAAUACAUGCAAGUAGAACGCACAGUUUAUACCGUAGCUUGCUACACCAUAGACUGUGAGUUGCGAACGUGUGAGUAACGCGUAGGUAACCUGCCUGGUAGCGGGGGUUAACUAUUGGAAACGAUAGCUAAUACCGCAUAAUAUUGAUUAUUGCAUGAUAAUUAAUUGAAAGGUGCAAUUGCACCACUACCAGAUGGACCUGCGUUGUAUUAGCUAGUAGGUUAGGUAACGGCUCACCUAGGCGACGAUACAUAGCCGACCUGAGAGGGUGAUAGGCCACACUGGGACUGAGACACGGCCCAGACUCCUACGGGAGGCAGCAGUAGGGAAUCUUAGGCAAUGGAAGAAAGUCGGACCGAGCAACGCCGCGUGAGUGAAGAAGGUUUUCGGAUAGUAAAGCUCUGUUGUAAGAGAAGAAAGGGUGUGAGAGUGGAAAGUUCAAACUGUGACGGUAGCUUACCAGAAAGGGACGGCUAACUACGUG